rnacentral:rRNA from 1 species
UACGGGGGGGGCAAGCGUUGUUCGGAAUUACUGGGCGUAAAGGGCUCGUAGGUGGCCAACUAAGUCGGACGUGAAAUCCCUCGGCUUAACCGGGGAACUGCAUCCGAUACUGGAUGGCUUGAGUUCGGGAGAGGGAUGCGGAAUUCCAGGUGUAGCGGUGAAAUGCGUAGAUAUCUGGAGGAACACCGGUGGCGAAGGCGACAUCCUGGACCAACACUGACGCUGAGGAGCGAAAGCCAGGGGAGCAAACGGG